CACUGCGGCAGUGACUGACAGUGCACAAAGGCCAUGCACAUGGUGCCCAGCCUUUGUGUUGCUCCUUAUGAACCUGGUUAAAAGAAGGAGCAGCCAGCAAUGGGACACCAGAAGGACAAAGCAUGUCCUCAGUGACCAUGGAUGGAGACAGCCGCAUUCACAGAUUAGCGCUGCCAUGGAAACUUGGUUUGCAGAGCUCCCCAUGGCAAACAAGGAAUGAAUGCCAGGUGUGACGUUACCACCUCUGUCUCUUUUGGAGCAAAGCCUGGGCCUUGUCAAAGCUCCCAUAGUGACUGACGCAACAAUGUCAGGAACAGCAUCUACCAAACUGUCCAGAGGGAACAGGGAAAAUCAGCACGAGAAAAAUGUAUCCACGACGGAGAACUAUCGUGGAGGCCUCCUGCUGAGAUCCAUCCUGAUGCUGGAACAGGAAGAAAAGCCAAAAAGUGGUGUGAUUGUGUUGACACUACUGCCUGCUGCAAUGAGUCCUGCUUGUCCCACCUGAGCAUUCACAGAUAACAACUGUUGUGGAGCUGCCAGACUCACCCUGCCUUCAUUGUGCACUUCCAUGGACAUGGAGAUGGCAUGGGACAUGGGACAGGCAAGUCUGCGGGCUGCCGUGUUUCCUGAUAUCAGUGAGAAAGGGGAAAGGUGAAUAAUAGCUACUUGGUGUGAGAUUCCCUGCUUCUGCUUUGGGAAGGGAAGUGCAGCAGGGAUUUGGGGAGCCAGGGGAAAUAAGUGAGGUGAUUUUUAUGCUUUGGAUUCAGAGCGCUGCAAUCUGCCUACAUAGUUCCAUUUGGUUUCAGCUUAUGUGAAUUUGGAACAGGGACUGUUUUGAAAAAAAUGGAGUGAGAGCUGGUCAGAAAAUACAUUUACAACAGCAGGUCACACAUCAUGGGGAAACAUCUAUGUGAUACAUUGUGGGGAGUAAAGUCUGGCUGCAGAUCAGUGCUGCAGGGAAGCAUUAGGAAAAAUUUUCUAGUAUUUGCUUUUUAUUAAAACAAAUCCCCGCAUACAUUUUCUGUGGAAAGGAAGCAUUUCAUACAGACAUUCCCUACAAAGAAAGACUAAAGCUACUCUCUAUAAAAACCUUUCACAUUUUACCUGGAAACAUUUCUAUCCUAUGUCAUCUCAGAGGUGAAGGCUCUGACCCUCAGACUGAGAUCAGGAUAACCUAUCUGGAUGAGGAUGAGGAGCACAGUUCUUACAGGAGGAUGGACAAAACUACAAAAUGGGACACAGCAUGCAUUCCAUACCUUCUAAGAAACAUGGGAUAGCAAGGGCGAGAGUUCUAGCCUCUCCAGCUCUUGUUUCUCCAAAAGCUACUUUGUGCGUGAGCAGUAGUUCUACUGCACCAGAGCAAACCCAUCCACCUUCAUUAGCAACACAGACCCCCAAAAGACAAGAUACUUUACUAUAAAGAAUGCUUUUGCUUUUUUUUUUUCUACAAUGCAUUCGUUCCUAAACACAAACCUAGCUCAUAUACAUAGCUGAUUUUUUUCAAUACAUUUCCAGAGUGUGCAUGCUGAUGGAACAAAAAAACUCCAAAUAUAAGGAAACUCAUUCAUUUGGUUCGCAUUGAUGCUGUCCUUCCAGCUAAUGACUAAUACUGGCUUUAAAGAAACCUGCAUUGUCAUUGAGAAGUAUUGCAUGAAAAGUAAAUAGCCUCAGAAAUCACUGUGGUAACAGGUCAUAAAUCAGUUAAAGAAUAAUAUCAAAUAAUAAAAAUAGUAUUUUUCCACUACAGUGGAUCGCAAAACUUUCAGAUGUUUCAUGUCGAUGUUAUCAUCUUUUCUCUGAAAGCAAAAGCUUCUUGAUUUCCAUGCAAGCUGCUCUCUACUGAAGCUAGCCAUAAAAUCGUGCAAUCUCCUGAGCUGGAAGUGACCUACAGGAAACAAUGAAUCCAAUUCCUGGCUUCACUCAGCACCAUCCAAAAUCCAAACCCAGUGUCUGUGAGCAGUGUCCAGAUGCUCCUUGAACUCCAGCACUCAGGGCCGUACCCACAGCCCUGUGCAGCCCGUUC